UACUAUCUGCCUGGGUAUUUCCUGA
rnacentral:piRNA from 1 species